CCUACGGGGGGCUGCAGUGGGGAAUUUUGCACAAUGGGGGAAACCCUGAUGUAGCGACACCGCGUGAACGAAGAAGCCUUUUGGGGUGUAAAGUUCUGUCGGCUGGAACGAAAAAAAUGACGGUACCAGCAAAGGAAGCAUCGGCUAACUACGUGCCAGCAGCCGCGGUAAGACGUAGGAUGCAAGCGUUGUCCGGAUUUAUUGGGCGUAAAGAGUUCGUAGGCGGUUAUUUAAGUCUGAUGUUAAAUACUGUGGCCCAACCACAGAACUGCAUUGGAUACUGGAUGACUUGAGUGCGGUAGAGGCAAGUGGAAUUCCCAGUGUAGCGGUGAAAUGCGUAGAUAUUGGGAAGAACACCAGUGGCGUAAGCGACUUGCUGGCCCGUAACUGACGCUGAGGAACGAAAGCCAGGGGAGCGAAUGGGCUUAGAUACCCCAGUAGUC
rnacentral:rRNA from 1 species